CAUGUUCAGCUCCCAGCCUUUUUGAAAGAGAAGGUUGCUUGGAGUUGGUGAUGGACGUUUUUGCCAGACCUUACCGUCUUGCUCGUCUUAAAUCGAUCAGUGGAAUCAUCUUUUGAGUCCGGUCUGACUAUGUGUGAUAAUUUGAUCACAUAGAAUGUGGGCUUGCCUACAACCGCAUCUUGAAGGACUCUGCUUCCAACACGGAAUGGUCUUGGACCAUCGUUAGCCUUUUUAAU
rnacentral:misc_RNA from 1 species